rnacentral:tRNA from 1 species
AUUUAAGUAGUUUAAAAAAAAAUUUUGAUUUGUGGGAUCAGAGAUAUAAGUGUUAUCUUAAAUA